rnacentral:tRNA from 1 species
GGGUGAGUAGCUCAGAGCAGUCGGCUGUUAACCGACAGGUCGGGAUUUCGAAAUUCUCCUUGCCCUCCA